rnacentral:rRNA from 1 species
CGGGGGGAGCAAGCGUUGUUCGGAUUUACUGGGCGUAAAGGGCGCGUAGGCGGCCUCUGCAAGUCGACUGUGAAAUCUCCGGGCUUAACCCGGAAAGGUCAGCCGAUACUGCAGGGCUAGAGUGCAGAAGGGGCAACUGGAAUUCUCGGUGUAGCGGUGAAAUGCGUAGAUAUCGAGAGGAACACCUGCGGCGAAGGCGGGUUGCUGGGCUGACACUGACGCUGAGGCGCGAAAGCUAGGGGAGCGAACGGGAUCAGAUACCCCGGUAGUCCUAGCCUUAAACGAUGAAUGCUUGGUGUCUGGGGUUUUAUAGUCCCCGGGUGCCGUCGCUAACGCUUUAAGCAUUCCGCCUGGGGAGUACGGUCGCAAGACUG